AUUGAACGCUGGCGGCAGGCCUAACACAUGCAAGUCGAACGAGUGGCGGACGGGUGAGUAAUGUCUGGGAAACUGCCUGAUGGAGGGGGAUAACUACUGGAAACGGUAGCUAAUACCGCAUACCAUCGGAUGUGCCCAGAUGGGAUUAGCUAGUAGGAGGGGUAACGGCUACACUAGGCGACGAUCCCUAGCUGGUCUGAGAGGAUGACCUGAGAGACAGGAACUGAGGCACGCUCCAGACUCCGACGGGAGGCAGCAGUGGGGAAUAGUGCACAAUGGGCGCAAGCAUGAGGCAGCCAUGCGGCGUGUAUGAAGAAGGCAUUAGGGUUGUAAAGUGCUUUCAGCGGGGAGGGGUUAUCCGCAGAAGAAGCACCGGCUAACUCCGUGCCAGCAGCCGCGGUAAUUC
rnacentral:rRNA from 1 species